rnacentral:sRNA from 1 species
AAAAACAGCAAAAAAUUGGAAGCCAUAUUAGAAGGUUUUGCCCACUAAUGUAAACUAUCAAAGACAAAAAACAGCCUUUGUCCUAUUUUCAAUUAUUUAAUUAUAUUAGAAAAUUGAUGGAGAAACCAAUACUUUUAAAAUGUUACCAUGGAAACUAACAAAUUUUUGAAAUAAGUUUUUUUGCAAUUGUUUAUAAGCCGAAAUGGAAAACUGUUAAAUUUUUACAUCCAUAUCAAUGUCCAUGCUAUAUAUACUUUCUUAUGAAAAUUGACAUCUGUUGCUAUGGCAACAAGGCAAAAGAAUAGGAAAAAAUGAGAAAUUGAAGAUGAUUUUGAUAUGCUUUAUUUUCUGAUUCUAGAUUUUUUUUUGCAGUCGUUUUAGUUGGAACUUGUAAAAAUAUAUCUACAUUUUCAUUAUAUACCACAAAAGGCUUUGUUAUGCAACAGAGAAGUGUUGUUGCUAUGGAAAAUUAAGUUGCGUAAAAAAUCACACAGAAAUUCUUACUUUUUGAAAAGUCCAUAGCAACGGCAGUUAUUUUUAGAAAGUUUCAGAUUUUUUUCAAGUGUCAUUAAAGUUAAUAAGGACAUACUUUAUUUUUUCUCACCAUUUCUAUAAUACUAUAUUAAAAUAAUAGACUCGAAUUUUUAAGCUUUAAUACCAAUAAAUCGGAAGAGUACUGUC